ensembl:snRNA U6 U6 spliceosomal RNA
GUUCACUUCAAUAGAAUAUAUUUUAAAACUAGAAUGAUACAAAGAUUAGCAUGCCCCCUGAGCAAGUAUGAUUCUUGAAUUCAUGAAAUGUUCAAUAUUUUU